GAUGAACGCUGGCGGCGUGCUUAACACAUGCAAGUCGAACGAAGCAUUUGCGACAGAUUUUUUCGGAAUGAAGUUGCUUAUGACUGAGUGGCGGACGGGUGAGUAACGCGUGGGUAACCUGCCUUGUACUGGGGGAUAGCAGCUGGAAACGGCUGGUAAUACCGCAUAAGCGCACAAUGUUGCAUGACAUGGUGUGAAAAACUCCGGUGGCAUAAGAUGGACCCGCGUCUGAUUAGCUAGUUGGUGAGAUAACAGCCCACCAAGGCGACGAUCAGUAGCCGACCUGAGAGGGUGACCGGCCACAUUGGGACUGAGACACGGCCCAGACUCCUACGGGAGGCAGCAGUGGGGAAUAUUGCACAAUGGAGGAAACUCUGAUGCAGCGACGCCGCGUGAGUGAAGAAGUAAUUCGUUAUGUAAAGCUCUAUCAGCAGGGAAGAUAGUGACGGUACCUGACUAAGAAGCUCCGGCUAAAUACGUG
rnacentral:rRNA from 1 species